GCGCUGUUAGCUCAGUUGGUAGAGCAGCUCCCUCUUAAGGAGAUGGUCGCAGGUUCGAAUCCUGCACGGCGCA
rnacentral:tRNA from 1 species